rnacentral:tRNA from 1 species
AAACUUAGGAUAGAUAAACCAAAG